GGUGUAGGCGGCUCGGUAAGUGUCGUGUGAAAGCCCCCGGCUCAACCGGGGAACUGCAUGGCAAACUGCCUGGCUUGAGGUUGGUAGAGGUGCCUGGAACUCUAGGUGGAGCGGUGAAAUGCGUAGAUAUCUAGAGGAACGCCAGAGGCGAAAGCGGGGCACUGGGCCAAUUCUGACGCUGAGACCCGAAAGCGUGGGGAGCAAACAGGAUUAGAUACCCUGGUAGUCC
rnacentral:rRNA from 1 species